AACCAGCACCUCAAGUGGUCAGGAUGAUUAUUGGGCCUAAAGCAUCCGUAGCCGGCUCUGUAAGUUUUCGGUUAAAUCUGUACGCUCAACGUAUAGGCUGCCGAAAAUACUGCAGAACUAGGGAGUGGGAGAGGUAGACGGUACUCGGUAGGAAGGGGUAAAAUCCUUUGAUCUAUUGAUGACCACCUGUGGCGAAGGCGGUCUACCAGAACACGUUCGACGGUGAGGGAUGAAAGCUGGGGGAGCAAACCGG
rnacentral:rRNA from 1 species